AUCUAACUGACGAGUCCCAAAUAGGACGUGAUGUGCGUCCUGGAU
rnacentral:hammerhead_ribozyme from 1 species